UUGCACAGGAGGCAGUCUCUCUCGAUACUCUCACUGAAGGAGGCCCUUUCUCCUGCAGCAGAGCAAACCUGGGAGAUGGCUCAAGCUGUGAUCGGAUUACUUCUCAUCUUGCUGCCAGUGCCAUGUCGAGCCAAGAGUGUGAUGUUUCAGCAAUCUCAUCCAAUAAUAAUCAAC